UAGGGAAUCUUCCACAAUGGACGAAGUCUGAUGGAGCAACGCCGCGUGAGUGGUGAAGGGUUUCGGCUCGUAAAACUCUGUUGUUGGAGAAGAACGGGUGUCAGAGUAACUGUUGACAUCGUGACGGUAUCCAACCAGAAAGCCACGGCUAACUACGUGCCAGCAGCCGCGGUAAUACGUAGGUGGCAAGCGUUGUCCGGAUUUAUUGGGCGUAAAGCGAGCGCAGGCGGUUUUUUAGGUCUGAUGUGAAAGCCUUCGGCUUAACCGGAGAAGUGCAUCGGAAACCGGGAGACUUGAGUGCAGAAGAGGACAGUGGAACUCCAUGUGUAGCGGUGAAAUGCGUAGAUAUAUGGAAGAACACCAGUGGCGAAGGCGGCUGUCUGGUCUGCAACUGACGCUGAGGCUCGAAAGCAUGGGUAGCGAACAGGAUUAGAUACCCUGGUAGUCCAUGCCGUAAACGAUGAGUGCUAAGUGUUGGAGGGUUUCCGCCCUUCAGUGCUGCAGCUAACGCAUUAAGCACUCCGCCUGGGGAGUACGACCGCAAGGUUGAAAC
rnacentral:rRNA from 1 species